CCUGUCAGUUAAAUAGGAUUUGAACCAUUUAAGCGCUUGUUCUUGUAUGCCGUACACAUGCAUUUUUUUUGAGAAGAAUAUCAUGAUCUACACAAUCAAAGGCUUUUUUAAAUCAAGGAAUAGAACAAAAUUCAGACAUACUUUGUCCAUGUUUAUAUACCACUCGUUUGUUAUGUUAAGAAGGGAUGUUUGUGUAAAAUGUUGUUUUCUAAACCCGGCCAGAUGUUCUGUGAUCACAACAUUCUCUUCCAGAUAAGUUUCAAGUUGUUUAGUAAACAAGCUCUCCAAUAUUUUGGUUACUGCAGACAAAACCGAGAUAGGUCUAUAGUUAUUACAAUGCGUUUUACACCGUGUUGAAAUAAGAGCCACUUUGAAAUCAUUUGGGAAUAUGCCGGUCAUAAUUGAUGCGUUGUUGGGAAUAUGCCCGUCAUAAUUGAAGUAUAUAUGUCAAUGAGGGAGCUAUAAUGUCAGCUGCGUCCUUCAAUAAUUUAUUCGGAAUUCC